rnacentral:tRNA from 1 species
UGCAGCGUAACCUAAGUGGUUAAGGUGCUCGCCUCAUAAGCGAGAAUAUGUGGGUUCGACUCCCACCGCUGCAACCA